AAGAAAGUUAGCUUCCCACCCCCAGCAGCUGCAAUGAUUGGAAAACGAGCCUGAGCCUCUUCACUGAAAGAAUAUAUCAUUAUCCCUUGGGUUCGCCCAACUUCCCUGUUAAGAAUCACCUGAAAUGCCUAAAAAUCCUCGAGUUUCAGGGCUUUUCCCUUGAAAUGAUGAUUUAGAAGUUCCUGGGGGAGAGCCUAGGAGUCUGCGGGUUUAAUAAGCACCUCCAGGAUUUGUGUCUUCGGGGAAGGUUCACCGUGGGAAAAACCCUUUGCUCAGCGGCUGUCUGGCAGAAGGUGCUGGCAUCCACACCCUUGUCAGAACCCUCCAUAGACUGAGCAGCUAGAUCACCCACGCUGAUGGAGCUUUCCUGCAAUACCAGACCCUGGCAUCCAUGAAGGGAAGUCUUAGGUUAAGCAUUGAAAAAUCCUGGAACUUUCAAUAUUUAUGUAGCCAAAGUGUCUUUCUUGCUCACUCGCUUGCUUGCUUGCUUGUGUACCACUAAUUGAGCAACUACUAUGGGCCAGAUGCUCUGGAAAAUGUUGUUCUGAAGAGGAUUACUAAUCUGCACCAGUGGUGCACCUAGCUGUAUUUUGCACAUUAGGAAAGAGACCCAGAGGCACACCUCCCAGAUGCAUCUUCCUCAUGGGGUUGUCGCAGGGUUUAAGAAAAUGAACUCAUAUAAAGGGCUUAGCAUAGUGUCUGGAUCAUAGGGAGCCAGGGAUCACCUCUAACACCUCUUUAGCUCUUAUGUGAACUCUUUGGCUGGAUCUAGAAACCAGAUUGACACCAGGCAGAUUGAAGAGAGAAAAGCAAGCAAAUUUCAUCAGUUUUACAUGUACAUGAGGACCUUCACAAGAGAGUAAAGUUCAAGAAGUUACCAAAGGAAGAUGCUUUCAUACUUUUUAGACAAAGAACAAUAAAUUUGAGGAAAAAAUAACAGGACAAAGGAGAUCUGGCUAAUAGUAAUACAUUUCUAGAGGACUCACUGGGAGAAGUAUGGGGGGAGGUGGAAAAAUGUCGGAUGAUAAGGGUUACGUCAUUAAGUGUCUCUAUUCAGGUCUAUUACAGCCCCCAAUUCUCAGUCUCUGGUCAUAAGGGCCAUUUUCUCACCCUGGCAUGGGGAGGGUACCCCUCCCAGAGAAAUCUUUACGGCUUGCUGAAUGCAGGAAGAGACAAGUUAGCUUGCCCUUUCUGAAACUACAAUUUCUCCAAUGUUUUCAACUUGAAAUAAUCAAUAUGCCCAUCCAGCAUAUUUCAAAAUGGCAUGUCCUUCUCUCCUUCAGCCACUAACCAUAUGUGUCUCUACAUAAAAUUCUAGAUUUAGCCCGGAAUGGUUUCCUCUUAUAGAACCAAGUAGCCUUCCUCCCUGGCACGCUGGUUUUGCUGGUGAUGCUACUCUUUAUUCUAAAUUUGGCUAACUUGCUGGGUUUCACAGCCAGUCUCACUGUUCAACACUUUCCAGGGUCCUUUGUGGAGGCACAGCCGCUCUCUCUAGCUCUCUGGCACCACGUCCCUUUAUAAUGAGCACUUUACACGUUUGGCCAACAAUUCCCCAAUUUCACCCUUGAGUUCCUUCACUACUCUCCAGUG